ACGAACGCUGGCGGCGUGCUUAACACAUGCAAGUCGAACGGUGAAGCGCCUUCCUUUUUGGUGGGUGUGGAUGAGUGGCGAACGGGUGAGUAACACGUGAGUAACCUGCCCCCUUCUUCUGGAUAACCGCAUGAAAGUGUGGCUAAUACGGGAUAUUCUGGGUCUGUCGCAUGAUGGGUCUGGGAAAGAUAUUGUUUCGGUGGGGGAUGGGCUCGCGGCCUAUCAGCUUGUUGGUGGGGUGAUGGCCUACCAAGGCGGUGACGGGUAGCCGGCCUGAGAGGGUGGACGGUCACACUGGGACUGAGACACGGCCCAGACUCCUACGGGAGGCAGCAGUGGGGAAUAGUGCACAAUGGGCGCAAGCCUGAUGCAGCGACGCCGCGUGAGGGAUGGAGGCCUUCGGGUUGUGAGCCUCUUUCGCCAGUGAAGCAGGCCUGCCUCGUUUGUGGGUGGGUUGACGGUAGCUGGAUAAGAAGCGCCGGCUAACUACGUG
rnacentral:rRNA from 1 species